UACGAAGGGGGCUAGCGUUGCUCGGAAUCACUGGGCGUAAAGCGCACGUAGGCGGCUUCUUAAGUCAGGGGUGAAAGCCUGGAGCUCAACUCCAGAACUGCCUUUGAUACUGAGGAGCUUGAGUCCGGGAGAGGUGAGUGGAACUGCGAGUGUAGAGGUGAAAUUCGUAGAUAUUCGGAAGAACACCAGUGGCGAAGGCGGCCUGCUGGGCAGUGGCUGACGCUGAGGCGCGACAGCGUGGGGGAGCAAACAGG
rnacentral:rRNA from 1 species